AGUAGAAUUACUGUUGGGAAGUAACUAUGGCAUUAAGGUCUUCCAAGAAGCAGAUGCCAAGAUGGGCUCAAAUGUGCAAGAUAUUUAUGGAAAACCACCUAUGAAGGACAAAGGAACAGAGAACAAGAGCCUUCCCCCAUGUCUAAUACCUGUGAAAGGAGAGAGAGAAGGAAGAAUUUAGUAGGAAGAGCCUGAGGUUGCUGCUUAGUUCUGAGAAAGCCUCAGCGAGGCCGAUGGAGAGCCCUUGAGCUGAGGUUGCCCAUUAGACAAAUUCUGCAUCAGGUAGUACUGGUUCUUUUCUAGUAACCUGGCCAUGCUCAGUCUUUGUGCAGGAGUAGCCCAGGAGAGCAUGGCCUGGGAUAAAUUCCUCAAUGAAUACAAAGUUGCAGCAGCUCAGCUAUGCUAGUCACAGCAGUUUCUUUUAAGGGAAAUCUGAGUAGAACACCUCCAUGGCUAUCACAGCCAACCCAGAUUGUGCAUUUGCUCAUGAACUAGAUAUGGCCACAUGAACAAUAGGUGAUAUUUCCCAGGAGACUCCUGGAGGUGCAAUGAGAUCUCUGCAGUAAGAGGUUGAAUGUGUACCUUUGGAUGUUCACAGAUGAGGGAAGGAAUCAUAAUUGGCUAACAAGAGGAGAUACAUUUGACUAUGUUAAGAGAACUGGAGGGCCUUCAGAUAAGGUUCAAAUUGUCCAACAUGGUCUACAAAGCUCUCUACUGUUCCAGGAGCACUCAAGGGGGAAGGACAGGAAAUCCAGGUGCUGAUCAGAAACCCACAAAUAUCUGCCAGGCUGGCAACAGACCCUAAAGAGAGAGAUUAACAAAAAACAGUUGAGGAGCAAGCUAAAUUCCUACAGGCAAUAGUGGGACCAGAGCUCAUAGGCUGGCACCAAUAGUACAGUUUGGUCCCAAGGAGAAGCAGCAAGGCCAUGCAGGGAAUCACAUAAACAGAUCAGAAACUGAAGUUUGGCUUGCUGACGUGACUUGCUCAAGGUCACAUAGCUACGAAUUGUAGACCUAGAACUAAAAACAUCCUGGCUCCUUGUCUAGUUUUUAUUGCUCUAUCCCAGGUUGUCUAGCUUAACUAACUCUUGCUUCAUGGAGCUUGUAGGAAAGGAUGCCCUGCAAAUGCAGGACGUAAGCAUCUGGGGAAUAUAUCCAAUCAUUCUUGCA
rnacentral:lncRNA from 1 species